AUCCCUCGAUUUAGGGUUAAGGUUCCCAAAUCGAGGCGUUCUUUGUGACCUUCGGUUUUCCUAAUAUUCCCAGAAGUGCCAUUGUCCUAUUUAUUUAACUGCAGAGAUCGGAUCUGUGUUUUCAUCUUCUCUUGCCUCCGGUCAUUUCCUUAGCAAUCUAUGUUAGGCUUUGUCUUCUAUCUUCCUUUGAUUUCUCAGCUCCAAAGCAUAUGCAUGAGAAGAGGCGUGUGACCUUCCGCAUGGCGCCGAAGAAGUCCAAGUGCCAAAUGUCCGAGAAGGAGGCGACUAUGGCUGUUGGGUGGAAGAAGAAUAAGUUGUCUGAAGCUGCGAUCUCAUCUCUUGUUAGCCGUCGUCUUUUGCAAUCCAGGACUUUGAUCCAGUUGCAGCCGGCCGAGGGUCAUGGGAGGCUAUUUGAAAAAACUUCUGAAAUUUUUCUUUUCAAGGCCUUUAUUGAGCGUGGCCUUGCCAUUCCCGCUUGCGACUUUUUGCGGGGUCUUCUUUUCUUGGUAUUCAGCUUCAUCACUUAACCCCUGACUCGAUCCUGCAUAUAGCUAUUUUUGUUCAGCUAUGUGAGGCGUUUCUUGGGAUUCAUCCCCAUUUUAAUCUUUUCAAGUCUCUUUUCCUUGAAUCCGUAUCUCAAUCUUAGGAAUAUUGCCAGGGUGGGGGUGCUGAUCUCCAGUUUCAUCCUGGCAUGGCGAAGAAGUAUAUCCCAUAUUCUCCGCGCCGUCAGAUUGGGGAUUGGAAAGCGGAGUGGUUUUAUAUCAAUAACCAUGCUCUUGCUCUUCCGGAGAGGGCUCCUGGACCUCUGAAGCCGCGUCACUAGUGGUGUGUGCCUGCUGGUAAUGCUGAUCAGGUGGGGGAGCUUCUGAAGCGGAUUGCUAGGCUACGAAGGGAGGGGGUGACUGGGGCUACAGUUGUCUCGUCCUGGUUUAGGAGGCAGGUUCAGCCCUUGCAGUGCCGCAGUCAUCUUGGAUUCGAGUAUGCGGGAUUGCGCGAUCCCUCUCGGUUUUCUUCGGAGAAGACUGGUCGAGAUGACUCUAUGGUGCUUUUUUAUAACCUCUUUGAGGGUGUUACUUCCAUGCCUAAGCUUUCGGAUUUAUUUCGUGCGAGUAAUCCUCCGAAACAGGAUGAUUUGUUGGUCUAUCAGAGUGAUCCUCCGUUGCCAGAGGUUCAUCGAUCGAGCCAUAUGAUGCCUAGCGCUCAUUUGCAGCCUCAUCAUUAUCGGCCGGAUUUGGAUCCAACUAUUUCGGAGACUGUCGAGUUCUGACUCCGAUGAUCGUGCUACCAUUGCAGACUUGAUGAAGGGUAAGACGGGAGGAGUGGAACUUUUGGCUCGUGAGGGGAGUCUGGGACCCGAAGCCGGCAUUAGUUGUUCCAAGAAGCCGAGGACAACUGUGUGGAAUAGAAGGGCUAGCGACGAUGUCAGGUAACCAGUCGGGUGGUUUUUGUCUCACUCUUGGUUUUUGCUGCCUGACAUCUUUGCCUCUGAUUUCAGCCCUGGUCCUGUGCCUAAGCAUAGGCGAGUGGUUGAGGAGAGGGCUUCUGCUGCUGCUGCUCCUUCUGAUGUGGCAGAGUCUUCGAGGAGGGCUGGUGGGGCGGGAUCGCAGUCUCCGGAGGACAUUCCAGUUGGUGUCUCGCCAGAUGCUGAGGAGGUGGAAGAGUCGAGUGAUAGCCUGCUGGAGGAGAUUAGGGCAUCUCCUCCUCUCUUUGAAUGUGAUCAUGGCGAGCAGCUUGAGGAUGAUCCACAGUUGACGGCUGGAAACAUGAAGAAGUUCCAGGCCGUUGUGUGGGAAUUCACCAAGUUCUCUUUGCAAAUGUCGAACUUGUCAUAUCUGAAGUCUCAGAAGCUGAAUUCGACUGAGGCGGAUCGCCAGAAGAUCACUCUGUUAGAGGCGGAGAAUGCUGCUUUGAAGAAAGACAAAGCCGCGCUCGAGCAUAGGGUCAGGAUGCUGAAGGAGGUGAUCCAGAAAAACUGAGGUGACCUCUUGAUCUGUGUUCUGAGGUUUUCCUUUUUGGUUAUACUGGUGCUUACGUCCUUUUUGUUGUGGCUGCAGACGGUACUGAAGAGCACCUGAAGGAGUUGCAGGAGCUUCGGGUGGCGGCUUAGACUGUGGUCGAGUCCGUAGGUUCUGCCAAGGAGUCUGAUGGCAGUUUGGCUGAUCGGCUGCAGAAGGUUCCUCAGAAGUUUGCCGAGUACUUGGCAGAAGCUUCUAGGAAUUGUGUGGCGCAGGCCCUUGGUCUUGUCAAUUCAUACUGGCCUUGGGCCAAGAUAGGUGUCCUUGGCGAUGGCAUGUGUUCGACUUGUGACCAUGACCAAUUUGUCAAGUUUGUAGAGGAGGCAGAACCUAUGGCUGACCAAAUUGUAAAGUUGAUAGAUCAGUAGGAUGUACUGUAUCUUCUUCUUUGGCAUGUAAAUAUGACUUUUUGGUCAAUGAGUUGGUGGGUUCUUUUUGUAAGAACUUUUCUUGAUUGACCGUCUUGUGUGGAUGUAGAGAUCGUGUCUCUUCCUUAA